GUGAAAUUGUCGAAAGGGAAGCGCUUGAAGUCAGCCAUGCUGCUUGAGACUCAGCCUUGCUUUUGCUUGGUGUAUUUCUCGGUAGCAAGCCAGCAUUGGUUCGAGUCGUCGGAGAAGGGUAUGAGAAAUGUGGCAUCCUCGGAUGUGUUAUAGACUUGUACUGGAUACGACGAUUUGGAUCAAGGAACGCAGUGUGCCUCUGGCGGGUCUU
rnacentral:rRNA from 1 species